UAAGCAAAGAUGUUGAAGGCCGGGACAGU
rnacentral:piRNA from 1 species